GAUGAACGCUGGCGGCGUGCCUAAUACAUGCAAGUCGAGCGAACAGACGAGGAGCUUGCUCCUCUGAUGUUAGCGGCGGACGGGUGAGCAACACGUGGAUAACCUACCUAUAAGACUGGGAUAACUUCGGGAAACCGGAGCUAAUACCGGAUAACAUGUUGAACCGCAUGGUUCAACAGUGAAAGACGGUCUUGCUGUCACUUAUAGAUGGAUCCGCGCCGCAUUAGCUAGUUGGUAAGGUAACGGCUUACCAAGGCAACGAUGCGUAGCCGACCUGAGAGGGUGAUCGGCCACACUGGAACUGAGACACGGUCCAGACUCCUACGGGAGGCAGCAGUAGGGAAUCUUCCGCAAUGGGCGAAAGCCUGACGGAGCAACGCCGCGUGAGUGAAGAAGGUCUUCGGAUCGUAAAACUCUGUUAUUAGGGAAGAACAAAUGUGUAAGUAACUAUGCACGUCUUGACGGUACCUAAUCAGAAAGCCACGGCUAACUACGUG
rnacentral:rRNA from 1 species